UGGCAGACGGGUGAGUAACGCGUGGAAACGUGCCUUUCACUACGGAAUAGCUCUUGGAAACGAGUGGUAAUACCGUAUACGCCCUCCGGGGGAAAGAUUUAUCGGUGAAAGAUCGGUCCGCGUUAGAUUAGCUAGUUGGUGGGGUAAAAGCCUACCAAGGCGACGAUCUAUAGCUGGUCUGAGAGGAUGAUCAGCCACACUGGGACUGAGACACGGCCCAGACUCCUACGGGAGGCAGCAGUGGGGAAUAUUGGACAAUGGGCGCAAGCCUGAUCCAGCCAUGCCGCGUGAAUGAUGAAGGCCUUAGGGUUGUAAAAUUCUUUCGCCAGGGAUGAUAAUGACAGUACCUGGUAAAGAAGCCCCGGCUAACUUCGUGCCAGCAGCCGCGGUAAUACGAAGGGGGCUAGCGUUGUUCGGAAUUACUGGGCGUAAAGCGCACGUAGGCGGAUUAUUAAGUCAGAUGUGAAAUCCCGGGGCUCAACUCCGGAACUGCAUUUGAAACUGGUAAUCUAGAGUUCAGGAGAGGUUAGCGGAAUACCGAGUGUAGAGGUGAAAUUCGUAGAUAUUCGGUGGAACACCAGUGGCGAAGGCGGCUAACUGGACUGAUACUGACGCUGAGGUGCGAAAGUGUGGGGAGCAAACAGGAUUAGAUACCCUGGUAGUCCACACCGUAAACGAUGAGUGCUAGUUGUCAGCAGGCAUGCCUGUUGGUGACGCAGUUAACGCAUUAAGCACUCCGC
rnacentral:rRNA from 1 species